UACGAAGGGGGCUAGCGUUGCUCGGAAUCACUGGGCGUAAAGGGCGCGUAGGCGCCAUUCAAGUCGGGGGUGAAAGCCUGUGGCUCAACCACAGAAUUGCCUUCGAUACUGUUGGCUUGAGACCGGAAGAGGUAAGUGGAACUGCGAGUGUAGAGGUGAAAUUCGUAGAUAUUCGCAAGAACACCAGUGGCGAAGGCGGCUUACUGGACCACCCACUGACGCUGAGGCGCGAAAAGCGUGGGGGAGCAAACAGGAUUAAGAAACCCUCGGUACGUCCGAGCACCAAAGUCGUACUCGACGUCAA
rnacentral:rRNA from 1 species